AUCAAUAUAAUAUAAAUUUGUUAUAUAUAUAUUUUACUCUGUAACCAAUGCUUUCAAAAACUUUGUACUUGUAUGUUUGAACAACUUUUUUCGCUUUCUAUUUAUAUACGAUCUCAUUUAUAUUUACAUAAAUUUUCAUAUGUACCCAAAUUAAGCAUUAAAUACACACACUUUGGUAAGACACAUUAAUUUCUAGUAUCAGACAAUGAUAUUAUAUUGAAUGUAAUGCUUCAAUGAAUUUUAUUACUAUAUACUAAAAUACUCAACGAUCUCCAUUAAAAAAAGAAAAGAAAUUGCAUGAUUAGAAUGAUUAAAGAUCAUUUGAUGAGGAGUUUCAUCAUUAACUGUGUCGAAACACAGCAGCAAUCCACAAUACACUUAACAGGAGAGGGGCACACAAGCAUGCAUGAAUCUUCCACCAUUAAACCUGAAAUCAUAAAAUAAAAGAAACAAGAUGAGUGUUGUUUUACGGUCUGAAAGCCGAUUCCAAUUAAUAAUAAUAAUAGUAAUAGUAAUAAACCUUUGUUAAUAAUUACUACUAGUUGUCUCUGCCUUUUGCAUCUUCCUCCUUUGUAUCAUCGUCCUCUUCCAAUCACACGGCUAGACCAGUAUGUCUCGAGAAUCUUUACUGCCUUCUCAGAGAUCCCGUUGACGUCACGACUUCGUAGAUUUUCAAUCUUUUCUAAUCCCUCAGCCUCCUCAACCAACUGGGCAUAUUGAUUAAAAUCUCCAACGGCGGUACCCGUAUUCAUUUCAGCUACCCCGACCUUCAAAAUGUUCUCUAAUCCUUCUAAGCAAACAGUGACGAUCUUUGGAUCAGCACAUUGAAGGAGACCACACAAUGGUUUUAUACACCCCGUUCUCACGAGGUACUUGAUUUGAUCAUGAGUGCCACGCGAGCUGGCAUUCGAAAUUGCCCAAGCAGCCUCCUUCUUUGUAUCAAAUUCAGCAUUUUGAAGUAGAUUGACAAUGGGACCAAUUAAGCCGGAAUCAAUUACCGCCUGAAUCUGCUCCCUGUUUCCAGCUGUAAUAUUUGAAAUAAUCCAGCUAAUCUUCUUCUUGAUGAUCUCUUCAUGAUUAUGGACUAAAAUGUCCAAAAAGUAUGGCAGUGCACCACAGUUAAUUAUAUACUGAGUCUGGAAAUCAUCUCCCGUCACAAUAUUUCCAACAGUCCCCAGGGCAGGGGCAAGCACUGAGGAUGAUGAGUGACCAAGGAGCUCAACAAGUCGUGGACAGACACCUGCCUCGAUCACAGCUUGAAUUUUGUCAUUCGUACCAUCAGCAAGAUACGCGAGUGUCCAACAGGCAUAUGUCAAGACCUCUUCAUCGUUUGAACGAAUAAGCUGUGCAAGCGCCGGGAGAGCUGGCCUUACCUGAUCAAAUGGUGGCUGUGGCAUGCCCCUGCAUAAAUUAGACAAUGUCCAUGUGGCAGUUCUCAGCAUUGAAAGCUUAGUGUGGUCCUUUAAUUGCUCCAGCACUGGAAUCAAAGCUUCUUCGCGAAGCACAAGAUUACGGCAUCCAAGUGAGUCACCACCAAUAUUUCCCAUUGCCCAAACAGCCUGCUCGCGGACAUCCUCACUUGGAGAAGCAAGUAGUUUCACAAAUAUUGGAACAGCACCGUCGUCAAUCACCACCUUAGUGUUCUCUGAAGUUCCAGAAGCAAUGUUUGUAAGAGCCCAAGCAGCCUGAAAAUGAAGUUGCGGAUAGUCUACCCUCAUAAGAAACUCAACAAAGCGCGGGACAACGCCAGAUUGUAUGACUUCAUCAAUUUGUGGACUCCUCUCAAUCGAAAGUAGAUUUCGGAACCAAGUAGUUGCUUCCAGCUGCAAGCCGCUGUCAUCUGACCAAACCCCAGCAACCAUCCUGUGAAAACUCGCGUACUUGUUUUAGGAGCAGGAGCAGGAGGAGGAAAUUAAGUUAGGGAUUUGGACUCCUUUGUUUUGAUUUACGCGAGAGAUAGUUGUAAAGCGUAAAAUUUUAAAAUCCGUAACAAAACAAAAACUUACAUGGGUUGGGCGCACCAUGUGCAUACCAAAUUAGAAUAAUUGACGAAUCGUAAUAAAAAAUUUAUAUAUAAGAAUUGAAUGAGAUCCAUGGUUCACAAUUGCAAAUUAAAGGUUGGUUUUAUAAUAAAAAUCUUUUUGUGCAUACCAAAUUAGAAAAGAUUAUAAGUAAAUUAAGAUUUUCAAAAUUUGACUAGUAUUAUAUUACGUUCAUCAAUAAAAUAUAAAUUUGUUAUAUAUAUAUUUUAUUCUGUAACCAAUGCUUUCAAAAACUUUAUACUUAUAUGUUUGAACAACUUUUUUCGUUUUCUAUUUAUAUACGAUAUCAUUUAUGUUUACAUAAAUUUUCAUAUGUACCCAAAUUAAGCAUUAAAUACACACACUUUGGUAAGACACAUUAAUUUCUAGUAUCAGACAAUGAUAUUAUAUUGAAUGUAAUGCUUCAAUGAAUUUUAUUACUAUAUACUAAAAUACUCAACGAUCUCCAUUAAAAAAAGAAAAGAAAUUGCAUGAUUAGAAUGAUUAAAGAUCAUUUGAUGAGGAGUUUCAUCAUUAACUGUGUCGAAACACAGCAGCAAUCCACAAUACACUUAACACGAGAGGGGCACACAAGCAUGCAUGAAUCUUCCACCAUUAAACCUGAAAUCAUAAAAUAAAAGAAACAAGAUGAGUGUUGUUUUACGGUCUGAAAGCCGAUUCCAA
rnacentral:lncRNA from 1 species